rnacentral:rRNA from 1 species
GAUGAACGCUGGCGGCGUGCCUAAUACAUGCAAGUCGAGCGAACGGACGAGAAGCUUGCUUCACUGAUGUUAGCGGCGGACGGGUGAGUAACACGUGGAUAACCUACCUAUAAGACUGGGAUAACUUCGGGAAACCGGAGCUAAUACCGGAUAAUAUUUUGAACCGCAUGGUUCAAAAGUGAAAGACGGUCUUGCUGUCACUUAUAGAUGGAUCCGCGCUGCAUUAGCUAGUUGGUAAGGUAACGGCUUACCAAGGCAACGAUGCAUAGCCGACCUGAGAGGGUGAUCGGCCACACUGGAACUGAGACACGGUCCAGACUCCUACGGGAGGCAGCAGUAGGGAAUCUUCCGCAAAGGGCGAAAGCCUGACGGAGCAACGCCGCGUGAGUGAUGAAGGUCUUCGGAUCGUAAAACUCUGUUAUUAGGGAAGAACAUAUGUGUAAGUAACUGUGCACAUCUUGACGGUACCUAAUCAGAAAGCCACGGCUAACUACGUG